GACGAACGCUGGCGGCGUGCUUAACACAUGCAAGUCGAACGGACAGGCCCUGCUCUUGCGGGGUGCUCGAGUGGCGAACGGGUGUGUAAAACGUGUGUAUCAUGCCCUUGUAUUUGGGAUAAAAUCAGGAAACUGGGGAUCUUACAGGAUAGGAGAUCCUGCUGCAUAGUGGGGGUUGGAAAAUUUCGGCGGUUGGGGAUGGACUCGAGGCUUAUCAGCUUGAUGGUGGGGUAGUGGCUUACCAAGGCUGUGACGGGUAGCCGGCCUGAGAGGGUGACCGGCCACAUUGGGACUGAGAGACGGCCCAGACUCCUACGGGAGGCAGCAGGGGGGAAUAUUGCACAAUGGGCGGAAGCCUGAUGCAGCAAUGCCGCGUGCGGGAUGACGGCCUUCGGGUUGUAAACCGCUUUCGCCUGUGACGAAGCGUGAGUGACGGUAAUGGGUAAAGAAGCACCGGCUAACUACGUG
rnacentral:rRNA from 1 species